AGAUUGAACGCUGGCGGCAUGCCUUACACAUGCAAGUCGAACGGCAGCACGGGAGCAAUCCUGGUGGCGAGUGGCGAACGGGUGAGUAAUAUAUCGGAACGUGCCCAGUCGUGGGGGAUAACGCAGCGAAAGCUGUGCUAAUACCGCAUACGAUCUAUGGAUGAAAGCGGGGGAUCGCAAGACCUCGCGCGAUUGGAGCGGCCGAUAUCAGAUUAGCUAGUUGGUGGGGUAAAAGCCUACCAAGGCGACGAUCUGUAGCUGGUCUGAGAGGACGACCAGCCACACUGAACUGAGACACGGUCCAGACUCCGUACGGGAGGCAGCAGUGGGGAAUUUUGGGACAAGUGGGCGCG
rnacentral:rRNA from 1 species